rnacentral:rRNA from 1 species
GACGAACGCUGGCGGCGUGCUUAACACAUGCAAGUCGAACGAUGAAGAAGAGAAACGCGAACUUCGGUUCAAAUUUCACUUCGGAUUAGUGGCAGACGGGUGAGUAACGCGUGCGCAACCUACCUCUUACAAAGGGAUAGCCUCGGGAAACCGUGAUUAAUACCAUAUGACACAUUCAUAAGGCAUCUUAAGAAUGUUAAAGCUACGGCGGUAAGCGAUGGGCUCGCGUCCCAUUAGCUAGUUGGUGAGGUAACGGCCCACCAAGGCGACGAUGGGUAACCGGCCUGAGAGGGUGAACGGUCACAUUGGAACUGAGACACGGUCCAAACUCCUACGGGAGGCAGCAGUGGGGAAUAUUGCACAAUGGAGGGAACUCUGAUGCAGCGACGCCGCGUGAGCGAUGAAGGAAUUCGUUUCGUAAAGCUCUGUUCUAUGGGAAGAAAAGGACUGUACCAUAGGAGAAAGCCCCGGCUAAAUACGUG